UACAGAGGGUGCGAGCGUUAAUCGGAAUUACUGGGCGUAAAGGGCGCGUAGGCGGAUGAGUAAGUUAGGUGUGAAAUCCCUGGGCUUAACCUGGGAAUGGCACUUAAUACUGUUUAUCUAGAGUAGAGUAGAGGGAAGUGGAAUUUCCGGUGUAGCGGUGAAAUGCGUAGAGAUCGGAAAGAACACCAGUGGCGAAGGCGGCUUCCUGGACUCAUACUGACGCUGAGGCGCGAAAGCGUGGGGAGCAAACAGG
rnacentral:rRNA from 1 species